AACAAUGCAAAAACCAUAAUUACGUUUGCACCAAUCUAAUAGUUGUUUUAAAAAAAAUUUUGCUGGGCCAGGCACAGUGGCGCAUGCCUGUAGUGCCAGCUACGUGGGAAGCUGAGAAUCACUUGAGCCCAGGAGUUCUAGUCCAGCCUGGGUAACAUAGAGAGACCCCCAUCUCUUAAAAAAAUACUUAUUAGGCAGCACAUUUCUGAAAUUAAAGAAAGGUCAGCAAAUUUGGAACAUGUGCCCUUUUGUAAACAGAAGAGUGGAUGAGUUGAUUAUAAAUGGGACAUCUCUUCUGCUUACAUUCUACAAGUUAACCAGAGGGCUAUGUGGUAUAAAAGAUGUUUGUGGUCACAGCCUAGCUCAGGCUAGAGUGUUGCAGACACCAUCCCAAAUCCUCCAGGCUGGGCUCAAGGCUUCUCUAAACCCUUCUUUGUUGCAAAAUCCCAUCUUUUCAUGCUUCAUUGGUGACAUGUGGCCAUCUGCCACAUAGAACAAGUGAGAAUACUAGUUCCAUAUCUUUAUUAAAUAACCAUUUUUCUUUUGUAAAAAGAGAAUAAAUAGAAAUUCUGAUAUUUUUCUUCUCAUACUUCCCUCACUCACCCCUCUUUGGAAACCACUGCAUAACGGAGCUAGGGGGAGGAUAAACUAAUGUGCCUGAAAUUUUACCUUAGUCUUCAGCCUAUAAGAGAUCACUAUCUUUUUUCCCAUUUUCACCUAGUUUCACAGCAAAUUUACAUACGGGGGGAAAGGUAUUAUUAUUCUUAACAUGAAACCACAGUAUUUAUAAGAAAGAAAUUGUGAACUUUAAAGUGUAAAGAUAAGGGAACACUGGAAUGGCAAGCCUGCCUAAGGUUUUUCACUCUUUUUGUUUUGUUGUGUUUUUCUUUUUUACCCAACAGUGGGAUCUUUCUGUGCUUGCACGAGUUCUAACAAUAACACCUACUGGUGUUUGCGUACAGUUAAUGAGACGCAUAAUUUUCUUUUCUGUGAGUUUGCUACUGGCUUUUUGGAGUAUUUUGAUAUGAAUACAGAUCCUUAUCAGCUCACAAAUACAGUGCACACGGUAGAACGAGGCAUUUUGAAUCAGCUACACGUACAACUAAUGGAGCUCAGAAGCUGUCAAGGAUAUAAGCAGUGCAACCCAAGACCUAAGAAUCUUGAUGUUGGAAAUAAAGAUGGCGGAAGCUAUGACCUACACAGAGGACAGUUAUGGGAUGGAUGGGAAGGUUAAUCAGGCCCAUCUCACUGCAGACAUCAACCGGCAAGGCCUAGAGGAGAUGUGAAUGAAACAUGAGUACAGACAAAACUACAGACUUAGUCUGGUGGACUGGACUAAUUACUUGAAGGAUGUAGAUAGAGUAUUUGCACUGCUGAAGAGUCACUAUGAGCAAAAUAAAACAAAUAAGACUCAAACUGCUCAAAGUGACGGCUUCCUGGUUGUCUCUGCUGAGCACGCUGUGUCAGUGGAGAUGGCCUCUGCUGACUUAGAUGAAGACCCAAGGCAUACGGUUGGGAAAACACCUCAUUUGACCUUGCCAGCCGACCUUCGAACCCUGCAUUUGAACCGACCAACAUUAAGUCCAGAGAGUAAACUUGAAUGGAAUAACGACAUUCCAGAAGUUAAUCGUUUGAAUUCUGAACACUGGAGAAAAACUGAAAAAUGGAUGGGGCAUGAAGGGACCAAUCAUCUGGAAACCGAUUUCAGUGGCGAUGGCAUGACAGAGCUAGAGCUGAGGCCCAGCCCCAGGCUGCAGCCCAUUCGCAGGCACCCGAAAGAACUUCCCCAGGAUGGUGGUCCUGGAAAGGACAUUUUUGAAGAUCAGCUAUAUCUUCCUGCGCAUUCCGAUCCGCAUUCAGUUCAUCAAAUGUUCACCAUGGCCACCGCAGAACACCCAAGUAAUUCCAGCAUAGUGGGGAAGAUGUUGACCAAGGUGGAGAAAAAUCACGAAAAGGAGAAGUCACAGCACCUAGAAGGCAGCGCCUCCUCUUCACUCUCCUCUGAUUAGAUGAAAUUGUUACCUUACCCUAAAUACAGUAUUUCUUUUUAACUUUUUUAUUUGUAAACUAAUAAGGGUAAUCAUAGCCACCAAC
rnacentral:sRNA from 1 species